rnacentral:tRNA from 1 species
AUUUAUAUAGUUUAAAAAACAUUAUCUUUUCAUGAUAAAAUUAAAAAUUUUUAUUUUUUGUAAAUA